GUGGAUUAGAUACCCUGGUAGUCCACGCCGUAAACGAUGGGUGCUAGACGUUGGCGAGCUUGCUCGUCAGUGUCGCAGCUAACGCGUUAAGCACCCCGCCUGGGGAGUACGGCCGCAAGGUUGAAACUCAAAGGAAUUGACGGGGGCCCGCACAAGCGGUGGAGCAUGUGGUUCAAUUCGACGCAACGCGAAGAACCUUACCAGCCCUUGACAUGUGACUCGCCGGGAGCAGAGACGCUCCCUUCGGUUCGGCCGGAGUCAACACAGGUGCUGCACGGCCGUCGCCAGCU
rnacentral:rRNA from 1 species